AAGUCGUAACAAGGUUUCCGUAGGUGAACCUGCGGAAGGAUCAUUAACGAGAUAGGGUCCUUCGGGGCCCGACCUCCAACCCCAUGUCUACUUUACCACUGUUGCCUCGGCGGGACGUCGAAGCCCUGAAACCAGGGUGCAGACCGUCGGCCUCGUGUCCUCGAGUGCCCGCCGCGGGAUUUAUCAAACCCAUUAAUGAAGCCCUCUGAGAGUAUUACUAAAUACUUCAAAACUUUCAACAACGGAUCUCUUGGUUCUG
rnacentral:misc_RNA from 1 species